rnacentral:snoRNA from 2 species
AGACCGUGAUGGGGACACUUGCGUAAUAGCUCCUUGAACCUUUCCCAUGUUUCAUAUAAGGAUUCCCCGUCCUCUUGUGAGUAUGUAUUAAUUUCAGCCAUUAAUUU